rfam:Medicago truncatula strain A17 chromosome 4, whole genome shotgun sequence.
AUGAAACAUUUUCCUCGGUAGUUAACUGCCGCCGGUUUCCUAAAAACCUCGGCAGUUAACUGCCGAGAGGGUAUU